rnacentral:rRNA from 1 species
AGAGUUUGAUCCUGGCUCAGGACGAACGCUGGCGGCACGCCUAACACAUGCAAGUCGAACGGAGAUAAAGACUUCGGUUUUUAUCUUAGUGGCGGACGGGUGAGUAACACGUGAGCAACCUGCCUCUGAGAGAGGGAUAGCUUCUGGAAACGGAUGGUAAUACCUCAUAACAUAGCGGUACCGCAUGAUACUGCUAUCAAAGAUUUAUCGCUCAGAGAUGGGCUCGCGUCUGAUUAGCUAGAUGGUGAGGUAACGGCUCACCAUGGCGACGAUCAGUAGCCGGACUGAGAGGUUGAACGGCCACAUUGGGACUGAGACACGGCCCAGACUCCUACGGGAGGCAGCAGUGGGGAAUAUUGCACAAUGGGGGCAACCCUGACCGAGCAACGCCGCGUGAGUGAUGAAGGUCUUCGGAUUGUAAAGCUCUGUUGUAAGGGAAGAACGGCAUCUAGAGAAUAGGUGAGUGACGGUACCUUACCAGAAAGCUACGGCUAACUACGCGCCAGCAGCCGCGGUAAUACGUAGGUAGCGAGCGUUAUCCGGAAUUAUUGGGCGUAAAGGGUGCGUAGGCGGCCUGUUAAGUUUAUGGUGAAAGCGUGGGGCUCAACCCCAUAAAGCCAUAGAUACUGGCAGGCUAGAGUACUGGAGAGGGUAGUGGAAUUCCAUGUGUAGCGGUAAAAUGCGUAGAUAUAUGGAGGAACACCGGUGGCGAAGGCGGCUACCUAGACAGAGACUGACGCUGAGGCACGAAAGCGUGGGGAGCAAAUAGGAUUAGAUACCCUAGUAGUCCACGCUGUAAACGAUGAAUUGCUAGGUAUUCGGGGCGACCCGGUGCCGAAACUAACUCGAUAAGCAUUCCGCCUGUGGAGUAUGCACGCAAGUGUGAAACAUAAAGGAAUUGACGGGGGCCCGCACAAGCGGUGGAGUAUGUGGUUUAAUUCGACGCAACGCGAAGAACCUUACCAGGCCUUGACAUCCCUUGCAAAAUCCUGGAGACAGGACAGAGGUUAUCAAGGAGACAGGUGGUGCAUGGUUGUCGUCAGCUCGUGUCGUGAGAUGUUGGGUUAAGUCCCGCAACGAGCGCAACCCUUGUCUUUAGUUACUAACAUCAAGUUGAGGACUCUAGAGAGACUGCCGGUGAUAAACCGGAGGAAGGUGGGGAUGACGUCAAAUCAUCAUGCCCCUUAUGGCCUGGGCUACACACGUACUACAAUGGCUAUUACAACGUGCAGCGACAGCGCAAGCUGAAGCGAAUCACUGAAAGAUAGUCUCAGUUCGGAUUGAGGUCUGCAACCCGACCUCAUGAAGUUGGAAUCGCUAGUAAUCGCGGAUCAGCAUGCCGCGGUGAAUACGUUCUCGGGCCUU